rnacentral:rRNA from 1 species
UACAGAGGUGCAAGCGUUGUUCGGAAUUACUGGGCGUAAAGGGCGCGUAGGCGGCCUCUUUAGUCAGACGUGAAAUCCCCCGGCUUAACCUGGGAACUGCGUCUGAUACUGGAUGGCUUGGAUUUGGGAGAGGGAUGCGGAAUUCCAGGUGUAGCGGUGAAAUGCGUAGAUAUCUGGAGGAACACCGGUGGCGAAGGCGGCAUCCUGGACCAAUAUUGACGCUGAGGAGCGAAAA